UUUCUUUUUAAUAUUUUACUUAUCAAAUCUGUAUUUUAUUGUAAUUUCAAUUCCAGUAAUAUUUCUUUUUGUUAACAUUGCCUUAAUCUAACAAUUAAUGUGUUACAAUUUUUAUUUUUUAGCUCCUAAUUAAAGGAUUUUUCUCUCUUUAUUUUUAAAGACAAACUUAAAUAGAAAAAUUUAGUCACUUUAGGAAAGUCCUUUUAAAAAUAAAUGAGGUGUGCCUCACCAAAAAAUAGUCACAAGUUACGGGCCCUCAAUAAUUAUAUAACAAUUGGAUAGACUUCGGAGUUGGUCGCUUAGCAAAGUUUCACGACCUUGUUCAAAACCACACUACACUAGUCACUUAUGGCACGUCUUUAAUAAAAGUACCUCCCUAAAUACGAGUGUGCAUUUAUGCAACCCAAAUCCAAAUCCAGAUGAAGUCGAAAUGUAUCGACGACCACGUGUACACUGGUUGUGACGUGAUUCGAGAUACGUUUUCACGACAUCGCAAUUCUCAGUAAAAUAAUAAUAAUAAUAAUAAUAAUAAUAAUAAUAAUAAUAAUAAUAAUAAUAAUAAUAUUAAAAGAGGAUAAAGGUUAAAAUCGUAUAAAAUCAUAUAAUUAAGCCAAAUAUGAAAGUUGAGCGACCGUGCUAGAACCAUGUAACUCGGGAAUGCCUAACACCUUCUCUCGGGUUAACAGAAUUCGUUAUCCGGAUUUCUGGUGCACGGACUGUUAAACAGAGUCAUUAUUUUCCUCGAUUCGAGAUUAAACCGGUGACUUGGGACACCAUAAAUCUCCCAAGUGGCGACGCUGAAUCUUUAAUAAAUGAUCCCGUUUCGAUUGUCCUUUAAUCGAAAAAACUCCCUUGCGCCCCCCCGGUGCCUGAAAAGGAGGUGUGACAGGGGGUAUGAUCCUUAUGUGUAGGUUAGAAGGUCUCAUGUGUAAUUGAAAGGUAUGUGUUGAAAUUUGAGAAUUUGGGGACGCUUAAGAAAAUGGACUCAACUGAUGUGGAAAUGAAUGCGAGGUUU
rnacentral:lncRNA from 1 species